rnacentral:rRNA from 1 species
UACGAAGGGGGCUAGCGUUGCUCGGAAUCACUGGGCGUAAAGGGUGCGUAGGCGGGUCUUUAAGUCCGAGGUGAAAUCUCCCGGCUCAACUGGGAGGGGUCUUCGGAUACUGGCGGACUUGAGGAGUGCAGAGGUGAGUGGAAUUCUCGGUGUAGUGGUGAAAUGCGUAGAUAUCGAGAGGAACACCAGCGGCGAAGGCGGCUCACUGGGCACCACCUGACGCUGAGGCGCGAAAGCGUGGGGAGCGAACCGG